rnacentral:lncRNA from 1 species
CUUUUGUGGGAUGUCUUACAUAGUGCUAGGCUCUAACGUACAUUGUUUUAUGUAAUUCACUCAACAGCCCCAGGAUGCAUCAUUACUCUCAUUUUGCAGAUGAGGAAACUGAGGAUCAUUUUAUCCAGAUCACUCAGGCUGAUGAAGAAAUCUUUACAUGGAAUAUGCUGUUCCCAUGGACAAGGAGAAGCAAAAAGUCUGGUGAAAACACACCAAGGCUUAUAAGACUUUCAUCAGUCCUAAGGAUGAGCAGAAGGGUACAAAUCUGCCUUUGGGAAAUACAUCUGAAAUGCAGAGAUAAACAAGUUUGCAUCUAUGAAAGGAGAAUUGGAGAGAGGGGAGAAUUGAAAACACACCAGUGGUUAGAACAGAAGAGGAAAGUCCACUGCCCUUUAAGUUGAAACAGAAGGAAAGACAUGAAGGAAAGCCUUGAAUGAAAUGAAAUAAACACUGAAACCAUACUCAGAAAUACAUCAAAACCCUGGGUUCUUGUCUUGCUAUGUUGAGAACUGCGAUAAUAUGGUAU